rnacentral:rRNA from 1 species
ACGAAGGAUGCAAGCGUUAUCCGGAUUCAUUGGGUUUAAAGGGUGCGUAGGCGGAUUUGCAAGUCAGUGGUGAAAUCUCCGGGCUUAACUCGGAAACUGCCAUUGAUACUGCAGAUCUUGAGUACAGAUGAUGUUGGCGGAAUAUGACAUGUAGCGGUGAAAUGCAUAGAUAUGUCAUAGAACACCGAUUGCGAAGGCAGCUGACAAAACUGUAACUGACGCUGAGGCACGAAAGUGUGGGGAUCAAACAGGA